AAGAACACAGUUGAAGCCCAUUUGUAAUGGAAAUGGCACUGUGUGCUGGUCCUGUUGGAUUUAUUUAAUGUGGAAUGCACUUCAGUGCUCUCCAGUCCCACACUGUGUGUUGGUAUAUGGUUCUGUCUCUAAAACUGCUCAGUGUACCACACAAAACAUUUAAGUAUUGUCAGUUUUUGUGAUACUAUGUGUAAUGUUAAAUGUGCUAGUGGUUUGCAACUACUGAAAGAGUAUUACAAGAGUUGGACAACAGAUUUGAACAUUUUGCAGUUAGUCAAAUUGUGUAGUGUAAUGUCUAGGUUGUUUUGAAUAUACAGAUCAGGUGAGCAGGGUAUUGAGUGUAGCAGGCUGGAAAGAUGUUUUGAUAAAUUGGCAUGAACUGUGAAGUUUACCAUUGCUUACAUCCAGUGGGACUGUAAAUUCUGAAAUGGAUUCAGAGGUGCACGUUGGAGUAUGCUUGUCGCAUAUUGGGUUUGUGCUGUCUCUUAAGGUGUCUGCCCUUUCAG